CGGAGGACUGGAGGAACUGAAGAAGAUGGAUUGUAGAACGUCAAGCAGGGAUUUAGUGAUACGUGUUUGCUGGCGAGGGACUGCAAUUCACAUACAACGCUGUGUGUAUGCAGUUGAGAGCGAGGUGGACAGGUGGAUCGCAUGAUCAAGGCGGAGAAGAGGAUGGAGAAAGGAAGAUCUAUAGAAACAAACUGACAACUAAUAAGGAGAGACAGUAAGAAUGAAAGAAGAACGAGUGAGAAAGAGAGAAAAGAUACCAUUUGUUUGUUCCCGUUUAAUAUUUAUUGGUUGGUGUCCGGACGAGAGGCUCUCUUAUAUACGCUGGCUUGCUGGGUCUUCACGGCGCAGACCCCUGAUUCUACACUAAAAGUUCUUCCCCACACAAGUUGUUGAGUACAAUGCUAGCUUGCGGUGGUGUGUGCACAUCCAGGGAGAAAGAAGAAGCUGUCCGGUCUCGAAGUGUCCGCGUGUGUAACAGAAUUCCGGGCGACUGUUCAGCUGGUGGCAGAGGCAGCGCUGACUGUAUCUAGGUUACAAUUUCCUGACGCACAGCCGAGCGCGAUGAUGCCCGACGAACCAGCCCACUGUCUUGUUAGCUGUGGAGAUGUGACUAGAUAGCUUCAGAUGAGCUCGGCCACUGGGAAUUACAACAAAUCGCUUCGUGCAUGCAGUCCAUUGACAAUGCAACAACAUGAACGACAGUUUUGAAGGACACGAAGAGGAUGGUACUACAAGGUUCAACUGGAUCAUGCACAAAGAGGUUGUGAGAGUGGGGGGUGGCUGAAAAGUGGUCACAAUCAUGCCCAGUGGCGUGCUUUGGUAUGUUUGAAUUAUUCGCGGACGUGAGAUUUCACUUGUGAUCUUCUAUGUCUUCUGCUCUGAAGAUAGAGGCUUAAUGUUCUUCUGAAACAAUGGUGACGGCCUACAAGAAUAUACAACAUCACAAUUAUAUUUUUUAUUGUGUCCUACAAAAUAUAACAGAAACUUAUUUGUGUUUAUUUAAAUUUCAAAGAUCCUUCGUGAAACUCUCUCACACAUUAAAAUACACUGAUGGUUUUUGGUAACAGAGUUCUAAAGAUAAUAUUUGUUAAGAAGUAACAGGAACACAGAAAAUAUUCCCUGAUGAUUCAUAAUACAUAAUCUGCACUAAAUAUUAUUAAAGUGGUCAAACCAAGGAGUAUGAGGUAAAUGGGGUAUGUAGCAUGCACGAGUGAGAGGAUAAAUGCAUACAAAGUUGAAGUCGCUAGGCCUGCAGGUAGUAGACCAUUCUGAAGAAUUACGCGUAGAUGAAAUGAUAAUAUUAAAAGGCAUUUUUAACAAGAAACUCGGCUCAGGACAUGGAUUAAUCACGGGUUUUUGCGAAGAAGAUAAUGAAUUUACGGGAUCCAUUAAAAACCAGAAUCUCCUGACUAGCUCAGCGACGAUAAACUUUUCAAGGCCUCUGUCACGUGGAGCUAGUCAGUCUUGGUAGAACUGCUCAGGUCUUAAAACUUCCCUCAGUUGCUUUCUCAUUUACAGUGAUUUGAAAAGUUCUACACUUUUGUUUGCGAUAAAGCAUUAUCAUUUUGUAAUCCUUUCCCUUCCCGCCCCCAUUCCGUCCAUAGCAUCCUGUUUAGUCGUUAUGUAGCCUGUUAGGAACAAACGUAUAAUUCUAUUGUUCCAUGCAAUAGCAAACUUCGCUCGGCUGAACACGUGAUUGACACCUUAUGCCACGCGCUGUUUGCGUGAUUGCAUAUUCCCAUACAAGAUAUUUCCUCAAAAACGGAACACAGCGUUCCUAAGACAGAAGACGCUCAAGCAACCGGAAACCUUGAUUCCUUGCAGCUAACUUGAAGAUGCCUGUCAGUUACCACAACAAACAAAUUUUGUUUCUUGUAUCGCUACAUAGAUCAGACAAACACUGUAUCAUCCACAGGCAUCUAACCCCAUUCACCGACUAAUCGUGUUUUAUGAUGCUUGUUUACAACGGUAGGUUUACUGGUAGCUGCAGAAAACAUAAUGCUACUUCGUUAGAAGACAACAAAUCGAAUAUGCCGACUAGCAGUUUAUUUAGACACAUAAGGACGAGAAGAAAGCAUGGAAGAGUUGAGAAAUGUAGCCUAUAAAAUUUUUAUACGAAAAUAUUAAUAUGAAAAUUAUGCCAAACAAAUAUU